rnacentral:rRNA from 1 species
AUUGAACGCUGGCGGCAUGCUUUACACAUGCAAGUCGAACGGUAACAGGCCGCAAGGUGCUGACGAGUGGCGAACGGGUGAGUAAUGCAUCGGAACGUGCCCAGUCGUGGGGGAUAACGCAGCGAAAGCUGCGCUAAUACCGCAUACGAUCUAUGGAUGAAAGCGGGGGACCGAAAGGCCUCGCGCGAUUGGAGCGGCCGAUGUCAGAUUAGGUAGUUGGUGGGGUAAAGGCUCACCAAGCCAACGAUCUGUAGCUGGUCUGAGAGGACGACCAGCCACACUGGGGCUGAGACACGGCCCAGACUCCUACGGGAGGCAGCAGUGUGGAAUUUUGGACAAUGGGCGCAAGCCUGAUCCAGCAAUGCCGCGUGCAGGAAGAAGGCCUUCGGGUUGUAAACUGCUUUUGUACGGAACGAAACGGCUCUGGUUAAUACCUGGGGCUAAUGACGGUACCGUAAGAAUAAGCACCGGCUAACUACGUGCCAGCCGCCGCGGUA